rnacentral:rRNA from 1 species
GAUGAACGCUAGCGAUAGGCUUAACACAUGCAAGUCGAGGGGCAGCAUGGUCUUAGCUUGCUAAGACUGAUGGCGACCGGCGCACGGGUGCGUAACGCGUAUGCAACUUGCCUCACAGAGGGGGAUAACCCGUCGAAAGACGGACUAAUACCGCGUACACUCCAUCUUGGGCAUCCAAGGUAGAGGAAAUGAAAUUCGCUGUGAGAUAGGCAUGCGUCCCAUUAGCUAGUUGGUGAGGUAACGGCUCACCAAGGCGACGAUGGGUAGGGGAACUGAGAGGUUGAACCCCCACACUGGUACUGAGACACGGACCAGACUCCUACGGGAGGCAGCAGUGAGGAAUAUUGGUCAAUGGGCGAGAGCCUGAACCAGCCAAGUCGCGUGAAGGAUGACUGUCUUAGGGAUUGUAAACUUCUUUUAUACGGGAAUAACAAGAGUCACGUGUGACUCCCUGCAUGUACCGUAUGAAUAAGCAUCGGCUAACUCCGUG